rnacentral:rRNA from 1 species
UACGUAGGUGGCAAGCGUUAUCCGGAAUUAUUGGGCGUAAAGCGUGCGCAGGUGGUUUCUUAAGUCUGAUGUGAAAGCCCACGGCUUAACCGGGGAGUGUCAUUGGAAACUGGGAGACUUGAGUGCAGAAGAGGAAAGUGGAAUUCCAUGUGUAGCGGUGAAAUGCGUAGAGAUAUGGAGGAACACCAGUGGCGAAGGCGACUUUCUGGUCUGUAACUGACACUGAGGCGCGAAAGCGUGGGGAGCAAACAGG